UGGUGCUUUUAUGGAAUGCAGAAAAAUAUAGGAGGAGAGGAAGCUCAGAAAAGUUAGUUUGUUUCUGCAGUUAAAUGUCAGUUACCCAUUUUCCAUUCCUGGUCACCUCACAGAAAAGGCGUAGUUUGAAUCACAAUUUUAGAGGGUUUUUAUGGGCUUUUUCUAACUUUUUAUCGGUACCGGGGAUCGAAAUUUAUGGGCUUUUUCUGUUGGUAUGUUUUUAAUUACAUCUUGAAAAUCAGUGACUGAUAAUGGUUCAUUUAGAAUUUUUCUUCUUGAUUCAGCUUUGGUAAUUCAUAUGUAUCUAGGGAUAUGUUCAUUUAUUCUGUGUUUUCCAUCUUGGUAGAGGAUAGGUUUUUGAUGUAGGUAUUAAUGAUCUGAAUUUCUGCAACAUCUGUUGUGAUUUCACCCUUUUCAGUUGUUACUGCAUGGAUUUGAGUCUUUUUCUUGAUAAGUUUGCCUAAGAUAAGUUGUGAAUAUCAAUUUUACUUAAUCUUUCAAACAAUCAGCUCUUCCAUUCAUUGGUUGUUCAUAUUGUUAUCUUAGUCUUCAUUGAAUUAAUUUCUGCUCUCGUUAUGAUUCUGUCCCUUCUAUGAGCUCUGGGCUUGACUUUUUUUUUUUUUUUAGAAGCUUGAGCUUUGACAUUAAGUUGUUUACUUGAGCUCAUUCUGUUUUUAUGAUAUGGGAAUUCACUGCUAUAAAUUUCCCUUGUAGGACUGCUUUACUUAUGUCCCAUAAAUCUUGGUAUCUUGUAUUGGCAUUAUCACUGACUUGUAGAAGCUGUCUAGUUUCUUCUUUAAUUUCUUGUGUGACUCAUUGGUUGUUCAGUAGGGUGUCAUGUAAUUUCCAUGUGCUUAUGAAGUUCUUGUGGUUUCUUUUUCCAUUGACUGCCAGUGUCAUUGCAUUGUGGUCGGAUUCUAUACAUGGGAUACUUCAAUUUCUUUUCAUUUAUUUAAACAUGUUCUAUAAGGUAGUAUGUGUUCUGUUUUGGAGAAAAUCUCAUGCACACCUGAGAAGAAUGUAUAUUCUGAUAUGGGGUGGAAUGCUCUUUAGACAUCUACUUGUUCAAGAGUUUGGUUCAUUUCUGAUAUUUCUUUGUUGACUUUUUUUUGUCUAAUUAAUGAUCUAUUUGUGUCAGUGGAAUAUUGAGGUCUUCCAUUACAAUGAGAUUGGUUGUUUGAUUUUUUGUGCCCGUUAAUAUUUGUUUUGUAUAGUUGGGUAUACUGGUAUUAAUGCAUAUAUAUUUUAGAUAUGUUUUCUUGUUGAAUUUUUUCCCUUGACAAGUAUGUAGUGACCUUGUCUCUUCUGAUCAGUCUUGGAUUUGAAAUCCGGUUUGUGUGCAAAUAGAAUAGCUAGCCCCCCACUUUUUUUCUGGGUUCCUGUCACUUGGAGUAUUGUUUUCCAGUCUUUGACUUUCAGUCUAUAAAUUUGUUGUUGAAUUAAAUGUGUUUCUUGUAUGCAGCAUAUUGUUGGAUCUUGCUUCUUGAUCUGUUAUGGCAGUCUGUUUCUUUUGAUUGGUGAAUUGAGACCAUUAACAUUGAUGGUUAUAACUGAUAUGUAUUGACUUAGCCCGAUCAUGCUAUUUUUCUAUUUUUGGUUACAUUUUUCCCCCUCUGUUCAAUUACUUGCCUUGCCUGGUGGAUUCAUUCUGUUGGUGGCAUUGAAGUGUAGUCUUUGUUACCAUUUCUUAGUUUGAACUUUAGAACAUUUUUGAGUGCUGGUUUGGUGGUCAUGAAUUUCUUCAGAUGUUUUUGUCAUAUAAGUGUCUUGUUUCUCCAUUGAUUUUGAAAGAUAAUCUUACAGAGUACAUCAAUUUGAAUGGGGGGUUGCUUUCUUUUAAGGUUUGAAAUACUUCAUUCCAAACUCUCCUUGACUUCAGGGUUUGUGUUGAGAAAUCUGCUAUUUCUGAUGAUCUUUGUAGGUUAUGUGUUUCUUCCUAUAACAGCUUUAAUGUUAUGUUAUUGUGUUGAAUUUCUAGAAUCUUUAACUGUAAACCCUUGCAAGGGGGCAGCCACAGCAAGGCCUUGCUGAUAAACAGUUCCAGUGUCAAUGGUACCAGGGACUGAACUCACAGCCUUUCAUUUGUCAGGCAGGCACUUGUACCACUGAGCUAAAUCCCCAACCCUUGAAUUUCUAGAAUCUUGACUGUUGUAUACCUUGGUGUAGAAUCUUUUUGAUCAUGGCUAUUUGGAGUUCUAUAUGUCUUACUUAUCAGUAUGUCAAAUUUUUUUCCUGCUUGGGAUGUAUUCUGGCUUUACUUCUGUGAGCAGGUUUUUUUUUUUUUUUUUUUUUUUUUUUUAAUGUCAUUUGCACCAUUUCCUGCUUUCUCGUUGUCUCUGGUAAAUCUUAUGUUAUUCUUUGCAGCAUCUACCAGCUGUGGGAUUGAUUUUUCAUGGUCCCUUGCUAUGCUUAAGAAAUCGUUCUUUUCAUGAUCACUAACUAUAAUCCUGUCUUCUGUAAUCACUAACUGAAAUCUUGAUUUUCUGUUUUCACACUGACUCAUUCUGUUGUGUAUAGUUUCAACAGAAUUUUAAAUUUGUGUUAUGGAUUCCUUGUCUUUCCUAUCUUGGAUGUCAUGGUUUCCAUCAUUUUUUGAGUUUUUUUUUUUUUUUUUUUAAAUCUGUAUCUGCUCUGGAGUUCCUAACUAUAUCUUUUAUUGUGGUUACCAUCUUUGUAGUUGUCUGUGAAAUUUUUUCUGAUUUUAUUUUCCCUAGAGCUUCAUGCAUUUGCUUUGUUUCUUCUGCUUUACCGUUUCAGAGAGGCCAAGUGACUGGCUUUUUAAUCGUUCCACCUCAUGGCCCCUGGGUUUGCCUUUGGUGAGCAGCAAGUCUGGGCUUACAUCUUGACUGAGUAUCUUCUCCCAUCCAGGUACUCACCAGGCCUGAUUCUGCUUGGUCUCUGAGAUCAGAUGACAGUGAGUGCAAUGUGGGUAAUAUGAGUGUGCAGGGUAAUAUGACUAGACUGUCUUCUCAUUUUCUGUGUUUUAGAAAAGUUUAAUUCCUUCGUUGCUUUUUAUAAAUUGCUAUGACAAGUAGCUUUAUUAUUGGUAUUUACAAUGCUAAGGAAAUGAGCAUCUCAGAGAUAUCUCCUGGGUUUUUGGGUUUUGAGUCUGGUACAAGAUUCUACCUGUUCAACUUACUGGGGGUGGGAAGCUGCUGCCUCUUUGUGUGGCUCCUUUUUUUUUUUUUUUUUUUUUUUGUCACUGAUGUUCAGUAUUGUUUAUGACCCCUAGGCCAUCUCAAUCUUGGCAUACCAGGAAGAAUAGCUGAUUACAACAAUUAUGUCACCUUGGCUAAUGUAGUACAAUCGACAAUAACAAUACCUCAAACACAGUAUAGAAAAUGACAAAGUAUGGUAACUAUUUGCCACCUUUUUAACCAUAUUUGUGGUUAUCUAACAAAAUCUAUAUCAAACCAGGAAAUUUGAUACAGUAAUUACGCCAUCAAUAUAGCAAUUUUACCCUUGGGGUAAAAAGGGCUUAAGAAGAAAAGUAGAGAAAUGGAAAAGAGAAAGAGACUAGAAGCAAGAUGACAGGACAAUGAAAAAUGAUGUAUUUUUUUGAGAACUGGUGAAGAAGACAGGAGGGAAAGAGAAGGAAGAAAUUAAAAAUUAAAUACAAGAAUAGAAGAAAACACUAGAAACAGGGUUCACACUCACAGAAAAGUGAGCAAACAAGAAAAAAGAAAACAAAAAUAAUAAGAAAUGAUAAAGAAAAUAAAAGAAAUGUCCAUUUCAAGGCUUAUCUCUGCUGUCACUGGUAGACCAAAUGGGUAGACAGAGUCCAGAUCUGUGUUUAAUAAUGUUUAUUAAUUCUAGCACGCCUGCUCCUUUAGUUUCCAUGAGGUUCAGGGUGGUUUCUGGAUUUGAUUCUGGAGUCUGCUUUGUUCAGCCGGCAACAGACUGUGUCCUUCCUGCCUGAUUGAACCCUGCUCUCAGGGCUGGGGAUUUAGCUCAGUGGCAUAAGCAUCUGCCUGGCAAACUCAAGGUCAUGAGUUCGAUCCCUGGUACUGCCAAAAAAAGAAAAAGAAGAUGAGCCCUGCUCUCCUGUGGCUGGAACUCAGCUGCCUUGCCCUGACGCUAGGAACCACUAGAUGGAGCCAGCCUGCAGCCGUUCUGAGCUCGGACCUUCUCCAAGAUGGUUAUGGCCAAUCGCCCCGUCCUGGGUUAUACCUGAGCCCAGAUGCCUCACCAGCCGCUGCAGUCCACCUUGCCCACUGCUCCGUUCUGUGGUGUGUUCCUGUGUGUAGGCCCCUGGUUUUCCAGGAGUCACUUUUGUAGCUUCUAGGUUCCCCUCCCAAGCAGUGAUUUAGGGCACAGGGAGAAAGCCCUGCUUGGCAGGUUGUUCUGUGUUGAAGUCUCUUUGCUCUCCCUGUGGACUUCAAUUUUUGCUUCAGAUCCUUGCUGGAUGCUGGGCACCCACUUCCCUCUUCUUCUUCCUCGCAUUGCUAUUUUCUAGCAUCUGGACACCGUAUCUCAGAGAUGCUGUGUUCUGCUGCUCAUGUUUUUAUGUGAGUAUGAACACUGUUUCUCUGCCAUCUUCUUGGAAGUUCCAGUUUUAGAGGUUUUAGUCUGUGAUCAGUGGUUCCUAUGCUUUGGGCCUAAGGCAAGGUUGCAUUUCAUGGUAGGAGUGCACGUUGGAGCAAAGCUGCUCAGUUCAUGGCCAGGAAACAAGAGAAGACACCAGGGUCGUGGGAUUCUCAUUAUACCUCCAAACACUUAAAACCUUCCACAAAGCUUCACCUUAACUGUUCCACCAUCUCAUAAUGUCAUCUUGGGGGCCAAGUCAUUAAUGGGAAUUUUCAAGAUCCAAAUUAUUGCAACAUCUAAGAUGAGAUAAAGUGUUGGUAGAUGGUUAUACGGGCUCAGAUUUUUGAAGCGUGAUCAGGACUGAUGAUAUAAAAUCAGGAGCCAUCUAUACAUGAAUGGCAUUUGAAAUCGUGAGGCUAGAUGUGCUCACCAUGGGAAUGUUUAUAGUUAGAUGCAAAGAUUGAGCCUCAAGCCACUCUGACUUUUAGAUGACAUAGGGUGAGAAGACUAACUAGCAAAGGAAAUUAAAAUGGUAACUUUUUAAGACAGGAAAAUAACCAGGGGAGUAUGGGGCUGGAAGCCAGUCUUCUGUGAUUAGUGGGAUUAAAUGGUGCUGUUGGACACAUGAAAUAAAACAUACAGCUGUCGCUGGAUUUAGCUGUUUACAGUUUGGAGUAGAGUGAUACAAAAUGACUGAUUACAAGAGAAAAUGAAAGAGUGAAACAGGAAAGACAAGCAUGGACAUUUAAAAAGUCUGCAAAAAAGUUAUGCAAUGUCUCUGAUGUCAUAGUUGAUACUGAUCGAGUACUUGCUGUGUGACUGUCACUGACACAAGUGCUCUGCCACUGAGCCAUCGUGCAUCGUGUUUCCAGAGCAGGCCUAUGCAAGCCAAAAAACCAUGAACAGCAAUUUUAAUGGAAAGGUUUUGAUUGUUCCAUGACCUUUUAAAUUUUUGUGAAGACAUUCAGAGAUCACUGUUUGUUAUAUAUUUGGAAGUGAAAAAAAUAGUAUAGCUGUAUUUAUUGGUACAUUUAUAAUUUGGGACCUUAUAAAUGUGGGAAAUUAAAAGCUAUGUGUUUCAUUGUAAAAAAUAAUAAAAAUAGUAGGUAGGACUUCCUAUCUUGUUAUAUAACUUAUAUAGGAGGUGAAUAUAAUUUGUUAUAUUCCUUUAGAUUCCAAAGUUAUUCUCUUUCAUUGUGAUAUAUUUCUAAGUGUUCUUUUAAAUGAGAAUUUUGUGCUAGCAUUACUUUCUCUGGAGCACCUGCAUCCGUUUUGUUCCAACCCCUUGUCUUGUUUUCUCCACAAGUUCACCGUGUCCCUUGAGUGGCACAUCUGGAGUCUUUCCGGAGCCAGAAUUCUAAUGCUCAUCACUGUCUUCUGUAAUACCUUUUAGGCUCCUCAGUUUGAAUUUCAGCUUUAGCAGCAUCACCUUUAUUUCUUUGCUUUCAUCUUUGCAGGUCACUUCUCUCUUUUGACUCCAGUUUUGUAGUGUCACUUGUAUUUAUCAUUCAAAAUCAAGGGGACAACACAGUCUCACAUUUUGGUGUCUUUAUCUGAACUGAAUAACACACACAACAGCUAGGCACAAAGAUUUGGAAGAAAGUGAUGUGAUUGGUUACUGAUCAUAAUGUCCAUCUGGUACUUCCAUAGUGAUUCAAGGCCCAAGGAGCUGACAGUGAUGUUUGUACUUUAUGUACAUAUAUUUAAUAUAUAUUUUGAAUGAAAUUCGAACCUUACUAUUGAGAGAUUGGUGGUGUUUGAACUAUAGUGGUAGCUACAAUUUUUACUGUCAAAACUGUGCCAAGAGAUGACUAUCAAUAGGUGCAACUUUAAAUUUAAAUAAAUUACUCACUGAAAGACACAUUUAAAAAAAUCAGCUUAAUAUGCACGUAUUUACCUAUAUAAUGCUGUAAAUAAAUUGAUUAUAUACAAAACUUAUACAAAUAAACUCUUCAGGGGCAACCAGUGGGUAUCCAUUGCAACAUUUCCUCAUCUUCUUUGCUCAACUCCACCAAAACUUUCUACCCUAUUCAAAUUGUAAAAUUAAGGUUCUUAUAUACACUUAGAUGUAAACAAAGAGCAUACAAGACUUUUAGAUAAAUAUAAAGAACAUUCCCAUGGGGUAGCUUGUAGGUCUGAUGACAUGUUACAGCAAAGAACUGCAGGCCACAUAAGUGAGAGGCUUAGGAAGAUUCAUUAACAAAACAAAACAAAACAAAACAAAACAAAACAAAAACCAACUACACAUUCAGAAAGGAGUAUAGAUACUCAUAGCAUGAGAUGUAUUAUGGUCUUGGAGUAGCAGUUUUUAUAUGUCCUUUGGGGUUAUCGUCAAGAUGCACGAUCUAUGAUAUAUAUUCUACCAGUGUAUUUGUUUAGUGGGUAAGUUAGAAUGGGAGCUGCAGUGGGCUGAGAAGUGAACCAAAAAGCCAGCCCCCUUGUAAGCCAGCUGCAGCCAUGUGGGCUGGGAGGAGAACUGAGAAGCCAACCCCCUCCCAUGUGCCAGUGGCAGCCAUGUGGGCCCAGAGGGGAAGUAAGAAGCCAACCCUGUCCUCUCCUGGGAGGAGAACCAAGAAGCCAAGCCCUUCCUGUGAGCCAGUGUCAGUUGUGGGCCAGGAGGGGAAUGAAAAAGCAGAGUCCUUUCUGGGAACCAGCAGCAGCCAUGAGGCUGGUAGGAGAACAAAGACGCAAACUCCCUCCAUGAGCCAGCUGGCGUGUAGACUGGAAGACAAGAGCCCCCAGUCUGUAAGCCACUGGCUGAUUUGGAGGAAUGCAGGCUGAGAUGAUAGCUACUGAAGCAAAAAAACAACUUAAUGCUUGUAUUGUUUGAUUGACUUUGCAGCCCUAAAGCUGGUAGUCUGAGCAUCUGUUUAGAGGAUAAUAAUACGCAUUAUUGCAACUAUGGGGCACUUUCCUCUGUCUUGCUUUUGAAAUCCAAUGUUGUCCUUACUGUUUUGUUUCUGUUUUAUUGUUAUGUUUUAUUCCUUUAAAAAAAUGUACAAGCCACAUACAUGUGUUUGAAAUUUAGAGUUUUUACCUACUUAAUGAAGUACUAUUUCCUUAAGAGUAGAAAUCUGUGAAAUUUGAGUAUCUGCAGCAUUAAAGAAGAGGCACAGGCUCAUUAUACAGGUGAAAAGCCCCAAUUUACAGGCUUAUCAUAUCCUUAGACCCUUAGGAAUUUUAUUUUUGGAGUGAGUUUCCUGGAAGGGAAAAGGGUGUUAUGACUUUGAUUGUGUCCUAAAGUUGUAGUUUUGACAGUACAAUUUAAAAAUUAUAGUUUUCUUUGUAUCUUUCCUACAUAUCUUUAUUUCUUGUAUCAUACAUCAGGAUCUAGUUGUAGAAGAAUUUAUUUAACCAAUGGAAGCCAGCUAAAGCUGUUGAGUUACUAUGUGAAGGUAAACCUAGACCUACUUUAUGACCCUAGCUUUAUGCAAAAUAGUAUCCAAAUGUUUAUGGACCCUGUUAUGGUUUGUGUGUGGAUGUCCUCCCAAGCCUCAUGUGGUCAUAGGUGGGGCUUUUUCAGAGGUGGUUGAAUCAUGGUGUGUGAUUGAUUCAUGGUGCAAUGCUAGGAUUCAAGGUGCUUGAUGAGUAAAUCAGUCCACUGAUCGGUUUGGCACCACCCUAAUACUGGUACCCUGGAUACAAUGUAAGGGACUGUGUCUUCUGUCUUGCUUAUUUUUCUACCUUCUGUCUGCUGUGAAGUUUCUCUGUGAUCCCUGUCUGCCAUACCAUCUGGUUUGGAGCCAGCCAAUUAUGGACUAAAACCUCUACAAACUGUGAGCUAAAUAUGCCUUUUCUUCUUUAACUUUGUGUGUCAGGUAUUUUUGUCUUAGCGACGAGAGAGAAGUAACCAAGACAGCUUCAAACUUCAUUUGUAGUAGCCAAAAAGUAUGAAAAGAACCCAGUGUUCACCAGUGGGCAAAUAGAUAGUUUUAUACCUUACAGUGGAGGGCUUUUCAGCAACACAAUGGAAUGGAUGCAUAUUCAGUGCUAAGGCUUGGAUGUACACACCUCCCAAAUGCUCUAGUGUUAAAGGCUUGGUCCCCAGCCUGUAGCACUACUGGGAAAUGCUGGAACUUUUAGGAGGUGGGUUCUAGUAGAAGGAAGUUAGAGGCACGUUCUUAAAGGAAUGCUGGUCUCUUCUCUCUUUGCUUCUUUGCUGCUGUGAGGUGAACAGGCUUCUUCUGACAUUUUAUUUUGCCCUAAUGUACCUUGCUACUAUAAGCUGAAAGCAGCAGGGCCAACCAAUCACAGACUCUCAGUUAACCAGAAUAAUAAGUUUUGGAAAGCUAUAAUACAGCAUGAUAACUAAAUACGGUGCAUAUUAGUUGCUAAGAGGUUAAAUUUUAAAUGUUCUUACCUCUACCACUAAUAAGUAUGUUAGGUGAUGGUCUAGCUUGAUGCAGUUAUUUCAUGAUGUAUAUGUAAAUAUCAACACAUCACAAUACUCUGUAAAUGUCCAGUUUUAUUUGUCACUUACAAUAUAGAGGAGCAAAACUCCCAACCUACAAUAUGACCAAUAUGAGUUUGUGUUCUCUAAAAUCAAAGAAUGAAUUUUAGGAACAAUGGAAGUUAAGAACAAUAUAUUUAUUGAGAGAAUGAAAGCUUCUGUCUGAGAGAGAGACAGAAGGGGUCUCAAGUGGGUUGCAAAGACUCUGUCUUUUCUAGGGACUUUUAUAGGUGAGAUGGGUCCAAGAUGGGGAAAACCUGGGAACUUGCAAGGUGAGUAUAAGGUGAGACAGAACUGUUGUAAAACAGUAAGAUUAAUUGUUCAGGUAAAAUUGACGAAAUCAGGGACGAAUGGGGUAUGUGAGUUACUGAGUAGGCAUGCUUAAAGAGCAACAGCUCUUCCUGAAGAGGUUUGGGAUGGUGACUCCUGGCUUCCUCAAGGUGAUCCAUACCUAUUUAGAAUAUCAACCCCUGAUAUUUAUACUUAGAAUGUGGUUGCAUUUGUUUUGCCUUUGUCUUGAUAUUUGUACCACAGUGAGAGAUGUCUAUCUCCUUCAAGGUUGCAUGGUAUGUGGUCUUCUGCCCUGGCUCCCUUGAGGGCCCAGCCCUAUUUGACUGCCUAUGUUUCUAACUAACUCAGACUUGACCUGUAACACUUAUACCUUGAUAAAGCUGGGGUGAUACGAAAAAAAUAAAAAGAAUAUUGAAUAGUAAACUUAAAAUCAUAGAAUAUAAAAAAAGUCAUAGAAAAUUGUGGGAGAAAAACAUGUAGUAUAAAGAUAUCGCCUGGGGAGGAAGGAGAGGAAUAUAUUACUGAUACAUGGAACAACAUAGAUGAAUUUUAUUUUUUUUAUUUUUUAUUUUUGUCUUUUUCCUUUUUAUCGGUACCAGGGAUGGAACUCACGACUGCCUGCUUGCAAGGCAGGCACUUAUGCCGCUGAGCUAAAUCUUCAGCCCCCAACAUAGAUGAAUCUUAAAAUAAUUAUGGUGUGUUUAAUGAACCAUGCUUUGGAGGAAUCUCAUUAAAUCGAAUUCUCUUUUAUUUGGAGUGAUAAUGAAUAUUAAACAACAGAUGUUAUGCUCAUUGUCCAUACCAAUAGGAAAAAACGGUAAACAAGACAGACACGCUGCUGAGCCCCCAGAACUGAUGUUUGGCAUUAUGGCUUGUAUCUUUAAUGUCUCCUCAAAAAUUCAUAUGCUGAAGGCUUGGUCCCCAGCUGAUGAUGCUAUUGAGAUGGGGAAGCUUUUAAAGAUAGGGGCUGGUUGGAAGAUGUCUCUAGGGGUGUAUUGUGACCCUUCUUCCCUUUCCUGACUACUCUAGGAUAAGAAACUUUGCUCCACCAAAUGCUUCCCACCAUGACAUUUGCCCUGUUUGUCACUGGCCCAAAGUGACAAACUAUGAAUGGAAACCUCUGAAACUUGGAGCCAAAAUACAUUUUUCCUCCUGCUAAGUUGUUUGACCUCAGGUGUUUUGUCACAGAGACAGAAAGCUAACAGCGAGGCAGAGAAUGAGACUGUGUGUAUUACUGGGGAUUCAAUUAAGAGUCCUCAUGCUGAGCUACAUCUCUAAUCAUUUGUAUCUCACUAGCCAUUUGAGCUUAAAUUUCUUCUGUCUUAGCUUCUCUCUGGAAUUAUAGGCACGUGCCACCAUGCCUGGUUGAUAAAGUUAAAAGUUGAUACUGCCAGUGGGGACCACUGUUUUAUGACUAAUGUAGAAGCAGAAACUACUCUGUGUGGGACAGCAUAGUCCUACAGCCUGGAACACAAGAGAUCAGUUAUUAAGGGCCCAUAAGCCUUAUUAAAGGGAUUAAAAAUUCAGGGUCUUAGGCCUGCUUUGAGAACUUUUGAUUCUUUGGGUUUGAAAUAGCUCAAUAACCAACAUUUUACAUGUGCUCCAACAUGUCCCUUUGGGGUAUCCUGGACUACAAAACCUUUGAAUUUUUUUUUUUUUUAAAUUUUAAAGAGAAUCAAACAAAACAAUAGAAUAAAGCAGAUCAGAACAAAACAAUGUAAGCAGCACAGGAUUUCAAAACAAAACAGGAAAUCAACCAUGACUACCACAAUGUCUCCUGUUCACCCUAAAAUAGUUGUCCAUAUCUUCACACACAAAGAAUUCAAACAAAACAAAAUAGAAUAAAACUGAUACAAACAAAAGAAUGGAAACAUUACUGGCCUUCGAAGUCAGACAACACGAAAAUCAACAAUGGUUACCUUAGUGUCUCUGUUCAAAGUAGCUGUCCAUAGCUUUGCACAUAUUGAAGUAAAAUAAUAGAAAACAGGCUAAAAUCAAUCAAAACAAAGAAAAAGGUGUUACUGGACUUCAAAACAAGAUGCCAAAGUCAGCAAUGGCUACCAUAAUGUCUCAUUUUCUUCAAAGUAGCUGUUCAUACCAUUUCAUGUAAUAAAAGCAAUUCUUGUACAGUCUUUUGGAAAAGCUCUAGGCAUGUAAAAGCCUGUAUAUGUAGAUCUAUCCUUUCUGCAUUAGAGGGAAAGACAAAACAAAGCAAAAUACAAGGAAAACAGAAACAACAGAGAUAAAUAACAAUAAUGAAGAGCCCAAAACAGUAACAAUACAGGCUUUUGAAACAAGGUGGUAGGAACAUAACUAAGAUUGUUAUUUUGCAUAGUUAUCUUCCAAAGAGUUACUCAGGUUACUGGAUAUAGACAUGAAAAAUUGAUCUAAUCCUGUGAAUGUUAACUGUUUUGUUCCAAGAACUAAUACAAUUAGUAGUACAAUCAUCUUAGCUAUCUGAAGUGUAUAUAUUCAAAUUUAUAUCUUUUUUUUUGCCCUUCUUUUUUCCUUUCCCUUCUGAGUUAUUUUUUUCAUCUUUGAGCAGUUUCUUACCCUUUCAUAGUGUUUAUUGAAGAUUUUGUAAAAGUCAGGGAUUGGUGUAACUAGAUUUGAGCAGUGGGUUAAAGGGGGGUGGGGAUGGUUGUAGGAAAGUUGGACGGCCGCUGGCUAGUGGGUAUGUACAGAAGUGACAACUGAAGGCUGGGGACUUAGCUCAGCAGCAUAAGCGCCUGCCUUGCAAGCAGGCAGUCGUGAGUUCGAUACCUGGUACCGGUAAAAAGGAAAAAGACAAAAAAAAAAAAAAAAAGUGACAACUGUGUUACUAGGUAUUUUACAGAUAUUUAAAGGUAGAACAGGGACUUGAGAUUGUUGUGAAAUGAGUUGCUGAGGGAGAGGUGGGUACUGUGUGGAGGGAGACGCCCAGGCUUCAGACUUGAGCUAGAAGGUAAUAUUUAUUGAGAUAGAGGAACUAGACUACGAAGAGCAGGUAGGGAGAAGGGAAAAGGAAGAGCUGAUGGUUUAGACCCAGGGAUAACCAUGUGGGGAUGAUAAGUAGGUGAGACACAGUAGUUUGAAGCUCAAGGAGAGGUCUGGACAGGAGACGCGGAUGAAAUGGGCAGCUGAGAGGGGAUAACGGAGUGGGGAUGGGUGAGAUUGCCCGAAGGAGGCUGUAGAUGGAGAAGGCAAAGAACAUGGGAGUCAAGCUAGAGCAAAGUGAGAAUCUGUCUUAGCAGGUAAAAGAA